rnacentral:rRNA from 1 species
AUUGAACGCUGGCGGCAGGCCUAACACAUGCAAGUCGAGCGAGCGGCGGACGGGUGAGUAAGGUAUGGGGAUCUGCCUGAUAGAGGGGGAUAACUACUGGAAACGGUGGCUAAUACCGCAUAAUAUCGGUUGAACAGAUAUGGGAUUAGCUAGUAGGUGGGGUAACGGCUAAACUAGGCGACGAUCUCUAGCUGGUCUGAGAGGAUGAUCAGCCACACUGGGACUGAGACACGGCCCAGACUCCUACGGGAGGCAGCAGUGGGGAAUAUUGCGCAAUGGGCGCAAGCCUGAUACAGCCAUGCCGCGUGUAUGAAGAAGGCCUUAGGGGUGUAAAGCACUUUCAGCGGGGAGGCGUUACCCGCAGAAGAAGCACCGGCUAACUCCGUGCCAGCCGCCGCGGUAAUUC